UAAUACUCCAUAGAUUAGAGACACUGGAAUGUUCUUUACUCGAAAGUUCUGGCGCCUUAGGAUGGAUCUGCGGUCGAUUAGGUUGUUGUUGGGGUAACGGCCCAACAAGCCUGUAAUCGAUACGGGUUGUGGGAGCAAGAGCCCGGAGAUGGAAUCUGAGACACGAUUCCAGGCCCUACGGGGCGCAGCAGGCGCGAAAACUUUACAAUGCAGGAAACUGUGAUAAGGGAACUCCGAGUGCCCGUAUACGCGGGCUGUCCAGGUGUUUAAAAAUCAUCUGUAGAAAGGGCCGGGCAAGAACGGUGCCAGCCGCCGCGGUAAUACCGGCGGCUCGAGUGGUGGCCACUAUUAUUGGGCUUAAAGCGUCCGUAGCUGGACCGAUAAGUCUCUUGGGAAAUCCGCCGGCUCAACCGGCGGGCGUCUAAGGGAUACUGUUAGUCUACGGACCGGGAGAGGUGAGAGGUACUCCGGGGGUAGGAGUGAAAUCCUGUAAUCCCCGGGGGAACAGCGAUGGCAAAGGCAUCUCACCAGAACGGCUCCGACAGUGAGGGACGAAAGCUGGGGGAGUGAACCGGAUUAAAUACCCGGGUAAUCCCACCGUAAACUAUGCGCGUUAGGUGU
rnacentral:rRNA from 1 species